CUGUUUACUGCCCCAUCCCCAUUAAUACAUACUCUGGGUUAAUAAAUAAGUAAAAAGCGAUUUUAUUAAAUACAGAAAGUAGGAUUUAAGUCAUUCCAAGUAGUAACAGACAGAACAAAGUGAAUUAC